rnacentral:lncRNA from 1 species
AACACACUUACAGAUGAGUCUAGAAAGUUGACUCUGAAAUUGAAGAGGAAAUCAGCUAAGUCAAUAUGAAUGAGGGGCUAUGGGCUUUGUUCAUAGCUGAUCAAUGUCAUUUUACCCUGACACAGGUCAGCAAGGGAUCAUCCAGUAUCAGUAGCAAUACUGUUGAUACAAAUAUGUUCUUUGUUAUCAGAGAAUUCUAGUAGAAUGAGAACUCCUUAAGGUCAGGAAUGAUGUCAUUUUUUUUGUUGUUGUUUUUGUUUUUGCAUCCCUAGCACCUAUAACUGUGUCUGGCAUUGUAGGUAUUUAAUGAAUGAUUGUUCAUUUGAAUGGAAAUAAAAGUUUAUUUCUAUUUUUAAAAGAGAAUCUG